rnacentral:rRNA from 1 species
CUACGGGGCGCUGCAGUGGGGAAUAUUGCACAAUGGGCGCGAGCCUGAUGCAGCAACGCCGCGUGAGGGAUGAAGGCCUUCGGGUUGUAAACCUCUUUUAGCAGGGAAGAAGCGAAAGUGACGGUACCUGCAGAAAAAGCACCGGCUAACUACGUGCCAGCAGCCGAGGUAAUACGUAGGGUGCAAGCGUUGUCCGGAAUUAUUGGGCGUAAAGAGCUCGUAGGCGGUUUGUCACGUCUGCUGUGAAAAUCCAAGGCUCAACCUUGGACUUGCAGUGGGUACGGGCAGGCUAGAGUGCGGUAGGGGAGAUGGGAAUUCCUGGUGUAGCGGUGGAAUGCGCAGAUAUCAGGAGGAACACCAAUGGCGAAGGCACAUCUCUGGGCCGUAACUGACGCUGAGGAGCGAAAGCGUGGGGAGCGAACAGGAUUAGAUACCCUCGUAGUC